rnacentral:lncRNA from 1 species
AUAAUCUCUUAGUUAAAUUUGUCGUUGGUAUAAUGUGAAAUGAAGCUAUUAUGAUAUAGAUCUUUGGACUGAAGAAAAUCAGGCAGAAUCCAGUUGGUAAAUGGAAAGAAGUAAAGAUUAGUUCUAAUAUUAAUGAGAUGUUCUUUGAUUUUAAUUAUUUAUUUAGUUCUUUUCCCCUGAAAAGGCUUAACUAGACAUGGCCUGUAUAGGAACAUUGAGAAAUAAAAUGCAAGUUUCCAAGGUCUUCAAGAUUAUCCAAGAGCACAGAGAAAGAAAUGGGAAAAGAAUGCUGCGCCCAUGUUCACCUCCAGAGGGAAAUGCAUGAGACAAAACUGCUGUAAUUGGAUUUUUUCCAGAACAUGUCAAGAGUACUUGCUUUUGCAAAAAUAUUCGUGGGCCAUUAAUCAUCAGCCAAGAACUGCAUCUCCCUGAAAACCACAAGAGCUUCCUUUGACCACGGCCCAGAUGAAUUCCAAACGGCAUGAACAUUUCAUUUGUAAUUUGCCACAUGCUUAUUAUUGACCCAGCUCUGCACAUAGCCAAAAAUAAAUCCCAUUUACCCACACAGUGGAUACCUUCGCCCUAGAAGCUUUUCUUUUGGCAUCGAUGGCACAACCAUUCAAAUGGUCCCCACAGAUCCCCUGGGACACACAAUAUCAGAAGUGGACCAAGCCCUUCCAGAAUGUUCCAGCACCGAGAGCCCAAGUGCCCAGAGCCAGGGCAGAAUAUCAAGGACACUCCACUUCUGCCUCCAAAGGCCCCAAGGCCACAGCAACAGCAAUGCCAGAUCUGAACUGCAUAUGUGACCUACUCCACAGCUCCUGGCAACACCAGAUCCUUAACCUUACUGGUGAGGCCAGGGAUCAAACCUGCAUCCUCAUGGGUACUAGUCAGGUUUGUUUCCACUGAGCCACGAUGGAAACUCCCAUAUUUUAUGUAUUCUUAAAAGCCACAUAUUUUAAGAUUGUUUCUCCAAUUUUUUUGUCUGAAAUGGUGCCUACACUCUUAAGACUGGCUAUAAAUUACAUGGAACAUGAAUGUGUAUACUUUGGAGAGACCUAUUGUGUUUUAUAGAAAGAGCAUAGUUUUUGUAUUGUUACCUUGGACUUCUGGAAGUUUCCAUGGCUCAUCUUAUAAUCAUAAAUAUUUUACAAUCAUCUUAAUUCAUAAUUUAUCUUAAUAGUUUAACAAACCCCUUAUCAUCUGAAUCUUAUACCUGUGCAGACAGCAGCAUGUAGGGCCAAAAAUCAAAGUUGUGCCUUGAAGCUUUUUUUUUCUGGUUUGUUCCAAAGGCCGUCUCUGUGUGUCAUAUCUCCCCACAGAUCAUCACGAAGCUCUUCCAAGAAUGUCCCUUCAGUUCUCCAAACCAGAUUCCCCUAUAGGUCCAUCAGGGAGGCAGUGAUGAGAGAAAGUGUCAGGAGUACUCAUUUAUGCUUAAAUAUUAUCUCACAGGAGCCCGUGAACAAAACAUCACAGGGCUUCUGGUUGUUUCGAAUGUAUUGCAAGCAGCUGAAGUUUAUAGUGCUUUGCUUCAGGUCUCUUGAUAAAGGAGAGCUAGGUAUGAGGGUCAGCCUUGCUGCUCUGAUUUAUAAGGAGGCAGCGAGUCCCAUAGGAUCAGAAAACACCAGCCCUGCUGUCUGAAAACAUGAUGCCACACCAUUCCCCCAGAUGAGGUUGUGGAUUCAUGGAAGAUGCUGAGAUGUCUCCAUUCAGCUUUGCUACAGGUGAUGCAGAAGGUCAUUACUUCUCUCUAACCCAGACAGACAGAAGUAAUGACCUUCUCCCUUCUGGUGAGUAGCCUCACUGCUUUGUGUCAGACCAGACUUCAGUGUUGGGUGUUUCACGACCAGGGUCUCUUCUGUGUGAGGAUGACAAACAGCACUCAUUUCACUUCCCAAGUCAGCGCCGACCAGCCCCACCCCCACCCCAUCAAGGCAGGCAUCGCACUUUCGUGCCCAGUCUCACUGAAACGAGCCUUGAAAUCCUCAGCUGCAGAGCUAAUAUGGGCCAAGAUAUUGAUUCCCUGGGUUUAGGCUGUGAGUGGCUUUUUAUGAAAAGCAUCGACUCAGCUGCGCAGCUCAGCUGAGCUACUUUACAUGCUCAGAAUGUGUUGCUUUGGCUGCUGAGUAGUGAAAAUCAAAGAGGAUCCUUUAGUCGCUGAAAGUCUAUUCAGAUUCCUGUGGAAGUUUUAGUUGUGUGUUGCAGAGCUGGGAAAAGAAAAAGGAAAAUGAUUGCUUUCCUCCGUCUGGGCUCUGCCCCAUGUGCUUCCCCCACACAGAAGCAUGAGAUAUCUUGGGAAAAGGCUUUGCCAUAUGCGACUUUUAUUAUAAGCUUUCCGAGAGAGUGUUUAUCAAGCUUACCGGAGUCACUGACCACCUGGUGAUCACUAUUCUCUUACGAAGGUUGCCAGCUCAGCUGUGAAGAUGAGCCGCUGUGACUCUCUUUGGUUGUGUCUUUUUGAUCAAAAAUUUGAUCAAGAAUUACUGAUUAGUCAGGGUGCAGAGAUCUUGAUAAACACGAUCUUGCAGUGUAAAUAAACAAACUAAAAAGACCAAACCGUGCACUUUUGGAAUGCAGGUGGUAAAUCUCUGAGGGUCAGGGAGGCCUGGGGUUAAGCGGAAUCAGUAAUAGUGGGGCAUGUCCCAGAGGGCUCAAUAAGCAUCUCUAUCACUGAAAUCAUGUACCAACCAGUAAGCACUAAUCUUGAGACCACUGGCACUCUGUGAGAAGCCAGGGACGGAGCUGUGAGAAUCUGUAUUGCAUUUCAAAACAUCUUCAGCUCUUACAAAUAAAUAAGCUCUUGAGCCUGAGAAAGUCUUUUCAUCCCUCCAAAACCAAAUCAAACAAAACACCCUGUGAUCGAAGGUAAAAAAGAAGAGGGCUAGACUCAUUUUUUAAACUCAAGUCACAUUAUUUACAAAUCAUAAGUACACUUAUAAGAUGGGAUGAAAUAUAAGUUUGUCUUUUAACUUCCCUCUUUUAAGACUUCAGUAUUAUAACUUUCUAUUGCUUUCAUUUUAUUCAGAUGUCCACAGUUUGUCUGUCUGUCUGGUUUGAUCACAUACAGGGGUGUGGGGAAGAGGUCACCCACAUGAGUACAAUGUCUUUCUCUUAAAAGAUCUUUCUCUCUCUCUCUCUUUUUUUGUCUUUUUGGGGCUGCACCCAGGGCAUAUGUAAGUUCCCAGGCUAUGGGUUGAAUUGGAGCUGCAGUCACCGGCCUACACCACAGCCACAGCAACUUGGGAUCUGAGCUGCAUCUGUGACCUGCACCACAGCUUAUGGCAACAUCAGAUUCUUAACCCACUGAGCGAGGCCAGGGAUCAAACCUGAAUCCUCAUGGAUCCUAGUCGGGUUCCUUAACCACUGAGCCAUGAAGGGAACUCCUAAAAUAUCUCUUUUGUAAUGUAUUCAUUCAUUUUAAAAGCUCCACACAAUCAUAUGGAGACUUUCUGAACUGACUGCAAAACCAGACAAGACGCAGAGCAGAGAGCUCCAGCACUGCAGCAGGCAGGCAAAGUCUGCAUUUCUUAACCCCUCAGAGCAUUAAAUUUGGAACAUUACACUUUUCUUAACGCAUCCCCCAGGAGGGUUCCUCUGGCGAACAUCACUGGAUGCAUGUGUGGUAGCUGAGCGUGGCAUUCUGAUAGUGACAAUCGCAGGACUUGGGCACUUUUCAGCCCUUUCCCUGAUGGUUAUCGUGGUCAGCUGAGGCUUUACUCCUCAAGACUGAAUCCGAACUACCAUUUUAAGGCAUCCUCAAAAGCCCUGGCAAAUUUUUCAGAUCAGAUGUCUGCUCAUUUCAAAAAGCCAUAGUCCUAAACCCUUGCUGAUGCCACCAGGCAGAGAGACAAUAAAGAUCUGAGGGCCAUGUUCACUCCUUUCUGACUUGGACGUCCUCUUUUCAGAGCAGCUUUAACCUGAUUCUUAGAAAAAAAGACCACCCCAGGAUAAGGCACAGCAAAAAAUGCAUCACUCUCUCCCAGGCCAGUACUGUAUUUCUCUUCUGUCAUCACUUUAUAGCUGCACCUGCAGCUUAUGGAAGUUCCUGGGACUGGGAUUGCAUCUGAGUUACAGCUAAAUGCAGAAUCCUUUAACCCGCCAUGCAAAGCUAGGGAUCAAACCCACCUCUCCACGUUGACCUGAGCCGUUGCAGUCAGAUUCUUAACCAACUCUGCCACAGCGGGAACGCUGACCUCACUUUUAAUGUGCAAGGAACUUUAGUUUCUUUAUUCUCAUGGUGCAUUUUUUGCAUAUGGUUUGUUAUUGUUGAUAAGAUGAUUUCAUCUCGUUCCAAGUUCAACUGUAGACUUUGAAUCCAAGACCUCUAUGAUAAUGAAUUCCCCAAGUUCCACAAUGGAUUCUUUGCUCUUGAGUAACAAGUAGUAUGGAGGAGGCAACCGGAUCUGUCUUAUUACAAACCAAUCCAAACCAGAGACUCACCAGCCUGGACUGGUACAAAGGACCAAACUGCUAGGUGACUUUCUAAGUCCAUGCCUGGUAAUGGCUUAUUUGCUAAAUAGGGAAAGCCAUAGAUAAUAAAUCAUUAAAUUAAAUCCCUUCAUUUCAGAUACUCUACUGGAUGUAAUUCCCUCUCCUCUAUGUUCCCCCAUUAUGACUGGGGAUGUGGAGGUCAAGGUUCCACUGGUACAGAAGGACUUUCAUAAACAGCUUGGAGUUUGCACAGAUCCUUGGGUUUUUCCCCUUGAUUACUUCCCAGAGGGAAAUAGACAAGCUCUUCUCCCAUAUGCAGCACAUUAUAAUCAUAAUCUUGGUUCUCCAUUUGUUUCUAAAGGGCACUGCUCUCUAUUUUCCUUCUCAAAUAAUCCGCAGGAUACAAAAUACCAUUAGAAUAGCUUUCUUGGAAUUCAGCAGGAUGCCUUUGAGUUCCACCUAAGAAAAAGUGCCUAACGGAGCUUAAAGAACUAAUGGAGCUGGUUCCCAAUAUCUGAAUCCUUCAGAGUGACUUCCUUCCUUGCCUAUAGUGUGUGUGUGUGUGUGUGUGUGUGUGUGCGCGCGCACGCAUGUGUGUGUGUAGUCAAGCCACAAAGCAAAAGUCAUUACUGCAAUUACAACGCUUUUAUCAGAAUGCUGACAUCCAAGAAACCUAACAGCACAUUGUUAUAGAGAGUAUUUAGAGUGGCAGGAACAUAGAGUUUGAAAGACACCACAAUCCAUGCAAAUCAGAAGAAACCUUAAGCCGGGGUUGGGGGUGGGGGAGGUGGGUAAACCUGCCUGCAGAGCAUCUCAGCUCACGUGUGUAGCUCAAAAUGAUCAGACCUGUGCAGAUUUGCUUCCUGUGAUUAGCCUAAUCUGGUAAAUUCCACUAGAAAGUAUUGUUUUAAAUAUUUUAGAGAAUGGCUUGAAUUAUGCCCAAGGGGUCAGAGAGCCCUCUUGGGUUCAAGUUGGUGCACAUUCAUUGCUCUGUCUUCUGUUUACUUCUCUCUCUUCUCUUCUGGUGCUGAGGAUGGAGUUAGAAAAAGGAUGUUUGUACAGGUAUAUGCCCUUAGCAUUAUGAUAUAUACAAUUUUUAUAAUUUUUGCAGUAAUAUAAUAUACUGCAGUAAGUAAAUUAGAGCAAUUAAAUUACAAGCACUUACUUCAAAGAGUGUAUAUAUAUCAAAAUGAUUCCAUACAUUAUAACAAUUGUACUAGUUAUUAAUACUUUUUAAUUUCUCCCCAAACACUAGGGUUAAUAAAUAUAUAUUUUUUAAGUUUGAAAGCAAAAUAAAAGAAAAAUUAUUUUUCAGCCCAUCAGAACGAUCAGCUUAUAGUUAUAUAUCUUGCCUUUAUUUGAAGACUGAAUUAUCACUCCCCAAAGAGGUAAUGGCUAGUAGGCUAUCAAAAAGCUGGGUUUUUUAAAAAGGUGAUGGUAGCUUCAAAAUGACCUACCUCAUACUUCAAAACAGUAUUUUCUUAAUACUAAAGCAAUGAUAAUAUUUAGAGGGGAUGUAGUUAAAAGCAUGGGAGAUGGAUCCCAAUUGCUUAGGAUCAAAUCCUCAUUCUUGGCACUCAUUUUUAUGGUACGUAACUUCUCUGUGCCUCAGGAGUUCCUGUUGUGGCUCAGCAGUAGCGAAUCCAACUAAUAUCCAUGAGGAUGUGGGUUCAAUCCCUGGCCUCACUCAGUGAGUUAAAGCAUCCAGUGUUGCUAUGAGCUAUGGUGUAGCCUGCAGAUGCAGCUUGGAUCCCUCGUGGCUGUGGCUGUGGCUGUGGCCGGCAGCUGUAGCUCUGAUUCUACCCCUGUCCUGGGAACCUCCAUAUGCCAU